rnacentral:rRNA from 1 species
UACGUAGGUGGCAAGCGUUGUCCGGAAUUAUUGGGCGUAAAGCGCGCGCAGGCGGUUCUUUAAGUCUGAUGGGAAAGCCCACGGCUCAACCGUGGAGGGUCAUUGGAAACUGGGGAACUUGAGUACAGAAGAGGAAAGCGGAAUUCCACGUGUAGCGGUGAAAUGCGUAGAGAUGUGGAGGAACACCAGUGGCGAAGGCGGCUUUCUGGUCUGUAACUGACGCUGAGGCGCGAAAGCGUGGGGAGCAAACAGG